GUUGUUUCAUUCUAAUAAGCCGUUUCCAUUUUAUAAUUAGGAUUUCUUAUGUUUCAAGAGAGAUGGAUACUUUGGUAACUUUAGGAUCUAAUAGUAACCUAAUUUGGUUUUCUGUGUAAUACUGCUAUUGCCAUGCUUGCCAUGAGGUGAGAACUACGCAUUGUUUCCGAUACAAUGCUGAGAGGAUUCUGUUGAACUUAUUGAAAUACCUUAGUAUCUUAGCUCGUUUGACGAUCUCAUGUGUGAAGUAAAAGUUGCUUUAAUGUAUUUGUACUUGUGGCCUCCAAUGUUAGGUAGAAUUAUCGGUUCGGUGCGCUAAUUCUCUUAGUAAUUACCUCCCUGGUGCACUACAUUGUUGAUGUUCCACGGAAAUUCUUUCUAUCAAUAUUUCCAUAUAUUUCUAAAGAUCAAUUAGUUAAUUAAACUGCUGAAUCGUGUAUUUUCAGGCACAUCCAUAAUAUGGAUGAUGUUCCAGUGGAAUUCACAUCAAACAGUCAAGAGUAAACAGUCAUAAAAGUGAACUGGAGCAUUGGCGACUGAUAUUCUUCCUUGAAGCAGAAGAGUGCAUCACUUUUCUUGCAAUCCUUUUGGUUUCUUGCUUCCAAUUGUACAAUGGUGCAUCAGUAAGCACUUACUAAUUUAGCUUAUAAAGAAUCUCAUUGUCUUGGAUUCAAGUUAACAACAUCAGCAUAUGAUAUGCAUGUAUCCAAAGUGCAUUAUUUUGCUUCUUAACUCUUUCCGUCUGAUUUCAAAGUUUGGUGAAUCAUAUAACAAUUCCUUUAUCUGCUGCGGUCAUUGUACAAUUGAAUUUUCAGAUAUAUCUCGAAUUUGAUCAACUUAUGGUUUUGCUUAUUUGAAAUUUGGACUUUGCAAAUGUUGGAAGUUAAAAAGGACCAAACAACGAUAU
rnacentral:lncRNA from 1 species